GUGUUUGCUUCAGCAGCACAUAUACUAAAACUGGAAUAAUACAGAGAAGAUUAGCAUAGCCCCUGAACAAGGAUGACAUGUAAAAUAUUCUAAACAGAUGCAGCUAGUU
ensembl:snRNA U6 U6 spliceosomal RNA